rnacentral:lncRNA from 1 species
UCAAUUGGUCACAAAUCAAAAAUUUAUAUGUCACAAUUUAUUUAUCGAUUACAAAUCAUAAAGUCAUAACUUAUUCUACAGUUACAAAUUAUCAAAUUAUCGAUCACAAAUUAACAAACUUUUAGGUCACACUUUAUUUCUUGGUCAUUCAUUGAUCACAUAUUGUUUAAUGGUCACUGAUUAACCAAUUUAAUGGUGUCAAAGUUAAUCAAAUAAUUUGUGACCACUAUCUCACCACUACCUCCAGUGGCACCAUCACUACCACCAGCGUCGUUGCUAGAACCACAAACAUCACCUUCCGACAGUAACACCACCACUUCAAACAAAUCAACCUAUCGCAGAAAAUACCACCACAUCGUUACGCUAGAUUCAUCAACACAAAAAAAUAUUAUUGUAGUCACUGCUACGACCACAAAUUGAGACCCAAAUUUCCUAAAUCUCUCGUCAUCCACUGCAACCUGUACCAUCUAGAUUGUAACCACCACUGCCAAUGCCAACAUUGUUUGUGACACCACAAUAUCCACCCCUCCAUCACUAGAUCCACCAGCAAAAAUCACCUCAAAAUUCCAACACGAAAAUAUAGAAAAAAAAAAUCACCACUAUCCAACACAGCACUGUUAUCUCUACAUCCUCACUCCUACCAUCACAGUCGCCGCCACCACCACCACCGCUGUAGCCGAUCCACAACUAUAGCCAUUGCAACCACCAUCUCACCAUCACAGCCCACCAAAAAUCCUCUCCAUCUCGACAAGACCAUCCCCACCAAAAAUUCCCAAUCCUUCAUAGCCUCUGCACGCAAUAUUGUUAGUAGCGGAGCAGCUGCAACUCACCUUCAUGCCGACAAUCAAACGCAAACAAGCAGUGGUGCUACACACAGUGAAGGCGUCGCUAUGCACUGAUGGUACAUAUUAGCUCGACAUUGACCCGUAUAUAGAUCGGUAAUGGCCACAUGACCUCUGCCUGUGGCAUUGUUGGCAGCCAAGUGGCCACAACAUGCUACUCUUCGACGAUGUCGUUGGAUAAGAGAGAGAGAGAGAGAGUAAGGCGAGAGAAUAUGGAGAGAUGGAGUGAAAUGAAUUUUAAGUUUAGGGAAGAAAUUGGGGUGCGUGGGUGGGAAUGGAUUAUUUUAAUUUUAUAAUAUUAUUAUUAAUAUUUAAAAUUUUAAUUAUUAUCUUAUUUUUGAAAGAAAAACUUGUAAUUCUUAAUUAUGAAUUGAGAUUUUUAAAACACUUAGUAUAUGUAAUUACCACUAUAUUAAAUUAGUCAUUUUGGUUUCCUCCUGG